UACGGAGGAUCCAAGCGUUAUCCGGAUUCAUUGGGUUUAAAGGGUGCGUAGGCGGAAUAAUAAGUCAGUGGUGAAAGCCCUCAGCUUAACUGAGGAACUGCCAUUGAUACUGUUAAUCUUGAGUACAUUUGAUGUGGGCGGAAUGUGUCAUGUAGCGGUGAAAUGCUUAGAUAUGACACAGAACACCGAUUGCGAAGGCAGCUCACAAAACUGUAACUGACGCUGAGGCACGAAAGCGUGGGUAUCAAACAGG
rnacentral:rRNA from 1 species